CCUCAAGUCGGGCGGGAAUACCCGCUGAACUUAAGCAUAUCAUUAAGCGGAGGAAAAGAAACUAACUAGGAUUCCCUCAGUAGCGGCGAGCGAAGUGGGAAAAGCUCGAGGCAUGAAUUGGUAAAUGGCAUUUACUGAACUGUAGCCCGGAGGGGCGCAAUCAGGGGAAGCCCGUGAUCCAAGUCCCCUGGAAUGGGGCACCAGAGAGGGUGAAAGUCCCGUUUAUGGUCAAGGUUUGCUUUUUCUGGCGAUGCGCCCCCGUCGAGUCGAGUUGCUUGGGAGUGCAGCUUUAAUAGGGUGGUAUACUUCAUCCAAAGCUAAAUAUGGGCAAGAGACCGAUAGCGAACAAGUACCGUGAGGGAAAGGUGAAAAGAACUUUGAAAAGAGAGUG
rnacentral:rRNA from 1 species